rnacentral:rRNA from 1 species
GCCUACGACCAUACCACCCUGAAUGCACCCAAUCUCGUCUGAUCUCGGAAGCUAAGCAGGGUUGGGCCUGGUUAGUACUGGGGCACCUGGGUGGCCAGAGUCCUGGGAUCGAGCCC